GACUGACUGGCUCAAUUGGUAGAGUAUGUAACUCUUGAUCUCAGGGUCAUGAGUUCAAGUCCCAUGUUGGGCA
rnacentral:tRNA from 1 species